GCCAAGGACGCUAGACUUUCAGAGCACUGU
rnacentral:piRNA from 1 species